AGAGUUUGAUCCUGGCUCAGAUUGAACGCUGGCGGAAUGCUUUACACAUGCAAGUCGAACGGCAGCACGGGAGCUUGCUCCUGGUGGCGAGUGGCGAACGGGUGAGUAAUGCGUCGGAACGUACCGAGUAAUGGGGGAUAACGCACCGAAAGGUGUGCUAAUACCGCAUACGCCCCGAGGGGGAAAGCAGGGGAUCGCAAGACCUUGCGUUAUUCGAGCGGCCGACGUCUGAUUAGCUAGUUGGUGAGGUAAUGGCUCACCAAGGCGACGAUCAGUAGCGGGUCUGAGAGGAUGAUCCGCCACACUGGAACUGAGACACGGUCCAGACUCCUACGGGAGGCAGCAGUGGGGAAUUUUGGACAAUGGGGGCAACCCUGAUCCAGCCAUUCCGCGUGAGUGAAGAAGGCCUUCGGGUUGUAAAGCUCUUUCAGUUGGAACGAAACGGUACGCUCAAACAUAGCGUGCUAAUGA
rnacentral:rRNA from 1 species